GAUGAACGCUGGCGGCGUGCCUAAUACAUGCAAGUCGAGCGAACAGACGAGGAGCUUGCUCCUCUGACGUUAGCGGCGGACGGGUGAGUAACACGUGGAUAACCUACCUAUAAGACUGGGAUAACUUCGGGAAACCGGAGCUAAUACCGGAUAAUAUAUUGAACCGCAUGGUUCAAUAGUGAAAGACGGUUUUGCUGUCACUUAUAGAUGGAUCCGCGCCGCAUUAGCUAGUUGGUAAGGUAACGGCUUACCAAGGCAACGAUGCGUAGCCGACCUGAGAGGGUGGUCGGCCACACGGGAACUGAGACACGGUCCAGACUCCGACGGGAGGCAGCAGUAGGGAAUCGUCCGCAAUGGGCGAAAGCCUGACGGAGCAACGCCGCGUGAGUGAUGAAGGUCUUCGGAUCGUAAAACUCUGUUAUUAGGGAAGAACAAAUGUGUAAGUAACUAUGCACGUCUUGACGGUACCUAAUCAGAAAGCCACGGCUAACUACGUG
rnacentral:rRNA from 1 species